rnacentral:misc_RNA from 1 species
ACUAGGGAGUUGGCUUACCAGAUAUGUCACGAGUUUGAGAGGUUCAGUACGUACUUGCCAGAUACCAAGGUUGCUGUAUUUUAUGGUGGUGUCAAUAUCAAAAUUCACAAAGAUCUAUUGAAAAAUGAAUGCCCACAUAUUGUUGUUGGGACACCUGGAAGAAUACUAGCGCUAGCGAGAGAUAAGGAACUUUCAUUGAAGAA